CGGAGACGGUGGUCCGGCGGUUCGGGCGCGCCGUCCUCCUGCGUGAGACGGAGUACGGCGCGUUCGUCGCGUGUCGCCUCCGG
rnacentral:tRNA from 1 species